rnacentral:rRNA from 1 species
GAUGAACGCUGGCGGCGUGCCUAAUACAUGCAAGUCGAGCGAACGGACGAGAAGGUUGCUUCUCUGAUGUUAGCGGCGGACGGGUGAGUAACACGUGGAUAACCUACCUAUAAGACUGGGAUAACUUCGGGAAACCGGAGCUAAUACCGGAUAAUAUUUUGAACCGCAUGGUUCAAAAGUGAAAGACGGUCUUGCUGUCACUUAUAGAUGGAUCCGCGCUGCAUUAGCUAGUUGGUAAGGUAACGGCUUACCAAGGCAACGAUGCAUAGCCGACCUGAGAGGGUGAUCGGCCACACUGGAACUGAGACACGGUCCAGACUCCUACGGGAGGCAGCAGUAGGGAAGCUUCCGCAAUGGGCGAAAGCCUGACGGAGCAACGCCGCGUGAGUGAUGAAGGUCUUCGGAUCGUAAAACUCUGUUAUUAGGGAAGAACAUAUGUGUAAGUAACUGUGCACAUCUUGACGGUACCUAAUCAGAAAGCCACGGCUAACUACGUG